rnacentral:rRNA from 1 species
GAUGAACGCUGGCGGCGUGCCUAAUACAUGCAAGUCGAGCGAGAUCUUCGGAUCUAGUGGCGAACGGGUGAGUAACGCGUUGGUACCUACCCUGAAGUGGGGAAUAACUGGCCGAAAGGUCGGCUAAUACCGCAUAAUACCGCAAGGUUAAAGUCGUAAGACGCUUCGGGAGGGGCCUGCGUCUCAUUAGCUAGUUGGUGAGGCAACUGCUCACCAAGGCGACGAUGGGUAGCUGGAUCGAGAGGUUGACCAGCCACACUGGGACUGAGAUACGGCCCAGACUCCUACGGGGGGCAGCAGUAAGGAAUCUUCCACAAUGGGCGAAAGCCUGAUGGAGCAACGCCGCGUGCAGGAUGACGGUCUUCGGAUUGUAAACUGCUUUUAUAUGGGAAGAUUAUGACGGUACCAUAUGAAUAAGCACCGGCUAACUACGUGCCAGCCGCCGCGGUAA